CAUAUUGACGAAUGUCGACACUUGACACUCGUGCUCUCGAUUGCAUGGCUGCAAUUACAACAAAGAUCAGCACGACUUCACAAGCAAAAGAAGAAUAAAGUAAGAAAUGUCAACUAUACUAUAUCUAGAUGGAUGACCGAACUAAGACCGGCAUCGCAAAGAGGCUGUUCGAUCACAAGCUCCUUCUGCGGUGGGAUCGCCAUGUCCUUCAACCGAUCGAAGUCCUCUCGAUCCCCGACCUCUACUUGGCUGUUGUCAUUGGGACCGGUUCAUGGAUCAUCCCAACGGGAAGAAAAACCUCAAGGAAGAGAG
rnacentral:lncRNA from 1 species